AAAACUUCAAAAACGGACUCCAACAAGAAAUGGCAGAACUGGAAUUAAUUUGCAAACUGGACACCAUCAGAUUAGACUGAAUAAAGACAGGGAGUGGAUGGGUCAUUACACAGAGUUAAAACUUUUUUC